GGGUUCGAUUCCGGAGAGGGAGCCUGAGAAACGGCUACCACAUCCAAGGAAGGCAGCAGGCGCGCAAAUUACCCAAUCCCGACACGGGGAGGUAGUGACAAUAAAUAACAACACAGGGCUCUUUUGGGUCUUGUUAUUGGAAUGAGUGCGAUUUAAAUCUCCUAACGAGGAACAAUUGGAGGGCAAGUCUGGUGCCAGCAGCCGCGGUAAUUCCAGCUCCAAUAGCGUAUAUUAAAGUUGUUGCAGUUAAAAAGCUCGUAGUUGAAUUUCAGGCCUGGCUGGACGGUCCGCCCUUCGGGUGAGUACUGUCUGUGGUCGGGUCCUACCUUCUGGCGAAGCGUCAUGGCCUUAACCGGCCGUGGCGGGGAACCAGGACUUUUACUGUGAAAAAAUUAGAGUGUUCAAAGCAGGCAAUCGCUUGGAUACAUUAGCAUGGAAUAAUGGAAUAGGACAAUGGUUCUAUUUGUUGGUUUCUAGGACCGUUGUAAUGAUUAAUAGGGAUAGUUGGGGGCAUUAGUAUUCAAUUGUCAGAGGUGAAAUUCUUGGAUUUAUUGAAGACUAACUACUGCGAAAGCAUUUGCCAAGGAUGUUUUCAUUAAUCAAGAACGAAAGUUAGGGGAUCGAAGACGAUCAGAUACCGUCGUAGUCUUAACCAUAAACUAUGCCGACUAGGAAUCGGGCGAUGUUGAAAAAAUGACGCGCUCGGCACCUCAUGGGAAACCAAAGU
rnacentral:rRNA from 1 species